rnacentral:rRNA from 1 species
CAAGUCGAGCGGUAGCACAGAGAGCUUGCUCUCGGGUGACGAGCGGCGGACGGGUGAGUAAUGUCUGGGAAACUGCCUGAUGGAGGGGGAUAACUACUGGAAACGGUAGCUAAUACCGCAUAACGUCGCAAGACCAAAGUGGGGGACCUUCGGGCCUCAUGCCAUCAGAUGUGCCCAGAUGGGAUUAGCUAGUAGGUGGGGUAACGGCUCACCUAGGCGACGAUCCCUAGCUGGUCUGAGAGGAUGACCAGCCACACUGGAACUGAGACACGGUCCAGACUCCUACGGGAGGCAGCAGUGGGGAAUAUUGCACAAUGGGCGCAAGCCUGAUGCAGCCAUGCCGCGUGUGUGAAGAAGGCCUUCGGGUUGUAAAGCACUUUCAGCGGGGAGGAAGGCGUUAAGGUUAAUAACCUUGGCGAUUGACGUUACCCGCAGAAGAAGCACCGGCUAACUCCGUGCCAGCAGCCGCGGUAAUACGGAGGGUGCAAGCGUUAAUCGGAAUUACUGGGCGUAAAGCGCACGCAGGCGGUCUGUCAAGUCGGAUGUGAAAUCCCCGGGCUCAACCUGGGAACUGCAUUCGAAACUGGCAGGCUAGAGUCUUGUAGAGGGGGGUAGAAUUCCAGGUGUAGCGGUGAAAUGCGUAGAGAUCUGGAGGAAUACCGGUGGCGAAGGCGGCCCCCUGGACAAAGACUGACGCUCAGGUGCGAAAGCGUGGGGAGCAAACAGGAUUAGAUACCCUGGUAGUCCACGCCGUAAACGAUGUCGAUUUGGAGGUUGUGCCCUUGAGGCGUGGCUUCCGGAGCUAACGCGUUAAAUCGACCGCCUGGGGAGUACGGCCGCAAGGUUAAAACUCAAAUGAAUUGACGGGGGCCCGCACAAGCGGUGGAGCAUGUGGUUUAAUUCGAUGCAACGCGAAGAACCUUACCUGGUCUUGACAUCCACAGAACUUUCCAGAGAUGGAUUGGUGCCUUCGGGAACUGUGAGACAGGUGCUGCAUGGCUGUCGUCAGCUCGUGUUGUGAAAUGUUGGGUUAAGUCCCGCAACGAGCGCAACCCUUAUCCUUUGUUGCCAGCGGUCCGGCCGGGAACUCAAAGGAGACUGCCAGUGAUAAACUGGAGGAAGGUGGGGAUGACGUCAAGUCAUCAUGGCCCUUACGACCAGGGCUACACACGUGCUACAAUGGCAUAUACAAAGAGAAGCGACCUCGCGAGAGCAAGCGGACCUCAUAAAGUAUGUCGUAGUCCGGAUUGGAGUCUGCAACUCGACUCCAUGAAGUCGGAAUCGCUAGUAAUCGUAGAUCAGAAUGCUACGGUGAAUACGUUCCCGGGCCUUGUACACACCGCCCGUCACACCAUGGGAGUGGGUUGCAAAAGAAGUAGGUAGCUUAACCUUCGGGAGGGCGCUUACCACUUUGUGAUUCAUGACUGGGGUGAAGUCGUAACAAGGUAACCGUAGGGGAACCUGCGGUUGGAUCACCU